CUGGGCCUAGGGCCUGGGGUGUGCCCUGCAACUGGGGGGUGGGGCUGGAUGUUCUUGGAGUCAGGGAGCAGCAGCCUCCCACAGGAUGUGAGAGAGGAACUGGGGUCUCCAGUCACGGGAGCCAGGAGCCGGCCAGGGCCGCAGGCAGGAAGGGAGCGAGGCUGAAGGGAACGUCGUCCUCUCAGCAUGGGGGUCCCGCGGCCUCAACCCUGGGCGCUGGGGCUCCUGCUCUUUCUCCUGCCCGGGAGCCUGGGCGCAGAAAGCCACCUCUCCCUCCUGUACCACCUCACCGCGGUGUCCUCGCCUGCCCCGGGGACUCCUGCCUUCUGGGUGUCUGGCUGGCUGGGCCCGCAGCAGUACCUGAGCUACAAUAGCCUGCGGGGCGAGGCGGAGCCCUGUGGAGCUUGGGUCUGGGAAAACCAGGUGUCCUGGUAUUGGGAGAAAGAGACCACAGAUCUGAGGAUCAAGGAGAAGCUCUUUCUGGAAGCUUUCAAAGCUUUGGGGGGAAAAGGUCCCUACACUCUGCAGGGCCUGCUGGGCUGUGAACUGGGCCCUGACAACACCUCGGUGCCCACCGCCAAGUUCGCCCUCAACGGCGAGGAGUUCAUGAAUUUCGACCUCAAGCAGGGCACCUGGGGUGGGGACUGGCCCGAGGCCCUGGCUGUCAGUCAGCGGUGGCAGCAGCAGGACAAGGCGGCCAACAAGGAGCUCACCUUCCUGCUGUUCUCCUGCCCGCACCGCCUGCGGGAGCACCUGGAGAGGGGCCGCGGAAACCUGGAGUGGAAGGGCUGGAGUGCAAUGGCAGGAUCUCGGCUCAUCACAACCUCCGCCUCCCGAGUUCAAGUGAUUCUCCUGCCUCAGCCUCCCGAGUGGCUGGAUUACAGGCAUGCACCACCAUGCCCAGCUAAUUUUGUAUUUUUAGUAGAGACGGGGUUUCUUCAUGUUGGUCAGGCUGGUCUCAAACCCCUGACCUCAGGUGAUCCGCCCACCUCAGCCUCCCCAAGUGCUGGGAUUACAGGCGUGAGCUACUGCACCUGGCCGCCUUUUUUUUUUUUUGAGACAGAUUCUCGCUCUGUCACCCCAGGCUGGAAUGUGGUGGCAUGAUCUCGGCUCACUGCAGCCUGAACCUCCCAGGCUCAAGCAAUCCUCCCACCUCAGCCAACUAAGUAGCUGGGAACCACCGCCCAGCGUCAUCACACCUGGCUAACUUUAUAUUUUUUAGACACGGUGUCUCACUGUGUUGCCCAGGCUGGUCUUGAACUCCUAGGCUCCAGCGAUCCUCCUACUUUGGUCUCCUGAGUAGCUGAGAUUACAGGUGCAUACCACCGUAACUGGCUAAUUUUUUUUUUCCGCACGAUCUCUGUCGCCCAGGCUAGUGUGCAGCAGCGUGAUCUCAGCUCGCUGCAAUCUCUGCCUCCUGGGUUUAAGGGAUUCUGCUGCUGCAGACUCAUGAGUAGCUGGCACUACAGGCACGUCCACCAUGUCUGGCUAAUUUUUGUACUUUUAGUAGAGAUGCGGUUUCGUCAUGGUAGCUAGGCUGGUCUCACACUCUUGACCUCAAGUGAUCCACCCACCUCAGCCUCCCAAAGUGCUGGAUUUACUGGAGUGAGCUACCGCGUCUGGCCAUACCUGGCUAAUGUUUGUUGUAGAUGUGGCAUCUCACUAUGCUGCCCAGGCCAGACUCAAACUCCUGGCCUCAAGUGAUUCACUUUGGCCUCCCAGGGUGCUGGGAUGACGGUGUGAGCCACUGUGCUUGGCCUUCCUUGCCUUAAUGUCCUCAUCAGACCCACGCAGCAGCACUUGUCUCUACACAGCCAUCAGAGUCUACGCUCCAGCCACCCAACAUAAGCAAUGUCCUCCCUCUGAGCAUUUGCUCAUCCAGUUCCCCCUGGCACCUCUCUAUUCCACCCUUCCCCCUCUCUGCAUAUACUCCAGCCCUCCUUAUUCUUCAAGGUCGGGGCUGGAUAUCACUUCCUCUGAGAAGCCUUCCUUCAGCUCUGUAGGGCAGAGUUCACUGUUUCCUCCCUGGAGGCCCCCAGAUCCCCCACUCAUUCAACUGUUGGCCAAGAGCAUUUGCACUGCCAGGCGCUACUGUGGGCCUUGAGCAAAGAGGGAAGUGACACAGGUUCACCCUCUGUGGCUCCCAGGCUGCUGGACAAAGAUAGAUACCAGCUGGGGACGUGCACAGAUAUUCAUUCCAAGUGCCACAAAGGAGAAGUUGAGACUCAACCAGACGGGGUGUCGCUCUGUUGCCCAGGCUGGAGUGCAGUGGCGCGAUCCUGGCUCACUGCAACAUCUGCCUCCCAGGUUCAAGCGAUUCUCCUGCCUCAGCCUCCUGAGUAGCUGGGACUACAGGUGCCUGGCUAAUUUUUGUAUUUUUAGUAGAGAUGGGGUUUCACCAUGUUGGCCAGUCUGGUCCUGAACUCCUGACCUCAGGUGAUCCACCCACUUUGGCCUCCCAAAGUGUUGCGAUUACAGGCGUGAGCCAACAUGCCCAGCCCAGGGAGGUGACAUCUUGAGGGGACACCUUCAGGGUGGAUAGGUUGAGUCUCUAUCACCUAGGAAGCGCCUCCCCUUUUACCACUGUAUUAUCUGGGGUUAGCACAGUGCAAACAUGGAGGCCUCUUUCUGUCCCUAUCCAGCCCUGGCUCUGGGAGUGGUGGGCUCGCGACUUAGGCUUGUCUGCCUGGUUUCCUGCAGAGCCCCCCUCCAUGCGCCUGAAGGCCCGACCCAGCAGCCCCG